ACUCAGGGAAGCUGAAGGGGGAUGGGAAGAGGAGGGGGCCGAAUGCAGAGGAGCUUAGUCAGAAACCGCAGUGGCUCUCAGAGCCGGAGCCGAGGCACAAGGGAGUUUGCCAGAUUGCCAGUGUUGGGGACGCUGGCAGAGAAAGAAAGCCCAAUUAGGCACACAGUUGUGAGAGGCUCUGGAGAAAGCGGUGGUGGACCAGAAGGAGGGUGUGGAAAAGAAAAUCCCACUGAAGGAGGCCAGAAGAUGGACUUGGCAGCACGCUACAUAACAGCUUGUUUAUAUGUGGGAAUUUAAUAAGCCUACAGGCAUCUGGUCUCCAGUCUGGUGAUGACUUCAUCCCUUGAACUUUCUUCUCCACUUCUGCUGAGAUCAAGCAAUUUUUACAACGCAAUACUAGAGCGCGCUGGGUCGUUCACUGGAUGAAAGGCUGGUGAAAACGUGUACAGACAUUCCUGGCUUUGCCCCAAGUGCUUCUGUGAAGAACAAUCUGCCAGACUGGUGAUUACAACUUGCUUUUUUUUCUUCACUGUCUUUUUUUUUUUAAUGGAUUCACAUUCAAAUGGAUUAUUGAAAAGUCUUACCAAUGUUUAUGAUUAAUGACAUUCUGAUUUGGUGCAAUAAACACUUGUC